GCCCCGGUAGCUCAGCUGGAUAGAGCAAUCGCCUCCUAAGCGAUAGGUCGCAGGUUCGAAUCCUGCUCGGGGCACCA
rnacentral:tRNA from 1 species